UACGAAGGGGGCUAGCGUUGUUCGGAUUUACUGGGCGUAAAGCGCACGUAGGCGGAUCGAUCAGUCAGGGGUGAAAUCCCAGAGCUCAACUCUGGAACUGCCUUUGAUACUGUCGAUCUGGAGUAUGGAAGAGGUGAGUGGAAUUCCGAGUGUAGAGGUGAAAUUCGUAGAUAUUGGGAGAACACCGGUGGCGAAGGCGGCUCU
rnacentral:rRNA from 1 species